GUUAGUCGGCUGGACUGUGAGGGCCAAUGAGUCCAGUGUUCCACCUUUAGGUAGCACACUCCCUUUCUUUACAGAUGUGCCAUGGUCUUUAGGAAACCAGGUAAUCGAACACGGUAACAUCAUGAGAAAGCAAUUCAAAACACAAACUUUAAGAACAGUAUGUGUGUGUGGAGUUCCCUUCGGAUUCGUUAACCACUGCGCCACGACGGGAACUCCUGUGCAGUGAUUUUAAGCUCAGCCUGACCUCUGUAGUAGAAGCAACAUUCUUGAGCAGUGAAUUAAACAGACAGAACGAUGUUAAGAUGUACCAUGGAUUUGUAUCCAUAUGCACUUAGUCUUGAAGAAUUGUGAGAAAAGCAUCAUUGACUGUGGAGCUUAAGGAUUUGAGUCCAGUGCUGGAUAGGCUAUUUCCUGUUAAGCUGUGUGACAUUGUGCAAGUUAUUUGCAGCCUCUGAACCUCGGUUUCCUCAUCCAUAAGAUGAGGUGUUGUUUACAUUAAAUGUGGUAAGGUGUGUGAAAGAACUGAACACAUGGUGAUACCGAAUUGUUUCCCAUAAUGCUCCUCUUAAAAGAUUUUAAAUGAAAGAAUGAAUGAUUUCAUAAAUUAAAAGAUCCAAAAAGGAUAAAAAUUAUACAGUAAAAAACAAUUCUCUAUCCACCUGUAACACUUGGGCCUGUACCCUAGAAGCAUUCCCCAUCAAUAGACUCCUGUAGCCUUCCAAAUAGUAUAUGUAAGAUCUCCAUGUUUACUUUGUAUAUCAUUUGGGAUAUUCUACAUGUUAUUUUUUUCACUUAAUAGUAUACUCUGGAGAUCAUUUUAUAAUAGCACAUGUGAACAAACUUCAUUAUUAUGAGUUUGAAAGUAUCACUUUAGCCAAUCCCCUCUUUUUUAAAAUUAAAAUGUAUAGUUGAUUUACAAUGUUGUGCCCGUUUCUGCUGCAACCAGUCCCCUCUUGAUGGGCACUUAGGUUACAUCUAGGUCUUAGUUUAUUAUCAACCAUUGGGCAUUCUGACAAACAUUGCAAUUUAACAAACAAUACUUCCUGUGUAUAAAGCCCAGUUUUAAGCAUCAUUAGAUAAAUUAGAAUUUUUUUUGCCAUCAAGGAACUCAUAACCUAGGAAGUGCAGUUGGCUGACAGUUCCUGACCUGUACACAACAGUCUAAGCAACAUGACUCAGAAAUGCUUUUUCCUGUCUCCACACUGCCACUUCCACUUAAAAAUCCCUAGUGUGUCUUUCUCUUAGAGGUAUAGAAACAGCCCUAUUUUGGGUGCCUUUCUAUCUCUUGACUCCUCUUUAGUUUUGGUUCUAUCAGAGAGGCAAACCAUUACCUCUACCCAUUGUAGGUUUUCCGCUGGGACCCUAACGAAAAGAUGGAUGAACAAGAGAAAAAGCACUUUAUUUAUGUGUCCAGCCCACAUUGUGGGGAGAAACCUAAACCAAAAGUCAUUCAAAAGGGUGGCUCAGAAUUCCAGCUUCUAGAGCAUCUUCAACCAAGAACAAGAAAUGUGUAGAGUCCUGUACACAGGCCAAAGGAAAGCAGGUUUAGGCUUCCAAGGGUGCAGACUGUGGAAAGGUAAAUAUCAGGAGGAAACGAGUGGAGUGAGAUUUGUUUGCUGAUUCCUCUGGUGCCGUUUCUGGGCUGAUAAAAUGUCUCCUUUCCUCCUGGUACAGAGAGGGCACCUUUGAACAUGGAAGUUUCAGAAAGGGAAAGGAGAGUGUCUUUCUUGUACCUGCUAUUUCCUAAGUACCUUUAAUUUAAAAAAAAAUCAGUAUGCCAGAAGUUCUGUGAUGGCUCAGUGGUUUAAAGAUCUGAUGUUGUCAUUGCUAUGGCUCAGGUCACUGCUGUGGCACGGGUUCAGUCCCUGGCCCAGGAACUCCUGCAUGCCACAGGUGUGGCCAAAAGAAAAAUCAGUAUGCCAAAGUGACAUGUUCCAGGGUGACACGUUCUGGUUUCCUUUAGUACCAAAGCAUUUGCACACCAGUGAACAGAUUAUGGAGGAUCUGUGAGCUUCACCAGCCUUGUCAUUAUAGAUCAAUAAGAGAAAAAAAA
rnacentral:lncRNA from 1 species